UACAGAGGGGGCAAGCGUUGUUCGGAAUUACUGGGCGUAAAGGGCGCGUAGGCGGCCCGCUAAGUCGAACGUGAAAUCCCCAGGCUCAACCUGGGAACUGCAUCCGAUACUGGAUGGCUUGAAUUCGGGAGAGGGAUGCGGAAUUCCAGGUGUAGCGGUGAAAUGCGUAGAUAUCUGGAGGAAUACCGGUGGCGAAGGCGGCAUCCUGGACCGACAUUGACGCUGAUGAGCGAAAGCUAGGGGAGCAAACGGG
rnacentral:rRNA from 1 species